rnacentral:rRNA from 1 species
UUGGGGAAUUUUGGACAAUGGGCGAAAGCCUGAUCCAACCAUGCCGCGUGCAGGAUGAAGGCCUUCGGGUUGUAAACUGCUUUUGUACGGAACGAAAAGACUUCUUCUAAUACAGGAGGUCCAUGACGGUACCGUAAGAAUAAGCACCGGCUAACUACGUGCCAGCAGCCGCGGUAAUACGUAGGGUGCAAGCGUUAAUCGGAAUUACUGGGCGGAAAGCGUGCGCAGGCGGUUAUAUAAGACAGAUGUUAAAUCCCCGGGCUCAACCUGGGAACUGCAUUUGUGACUGUAUAGCUAGAGUACGGUAGAGGGGGAUGGAAUUCCGCGUGUAGCAGUGAAAUGCGUAGAUAUGCGGAGGAACACCGAUGGCGAAGGCAAUCCCCUGGACCUGUACUGACGCUCAUGCACGAAAGCGUGGGGAGCAAACAGGAUUAGAAACCCGAGUAGUCC